rnacentral:lncRNA from 1 species
GAACACCACAGUUGCUGGGUUCCAAAGUCUACAGCUGUAAGAAGGUAUUUUGCCCCGCAAUAUGGUAAGAACUUUCUUUUAAAUUUGAUUGAUCCUAUCUGCAAAGAAAACUGAAACUUAAAAGAAAGAGUCAAAGAACUGUGAACCACCAGAUUUCACCAGCUGUUCAGUUCUGGCAUUUUUGUAUUGGACCCAGUCUUCCUGGGACUCCUGAUGGAUUCAAUUUUUUGGUUGCUGCCAGGUGAAGAAACUAAAUCGGCCUCAUUCUU